GACGAACCGAGCGAACGUUAUUCGGAAUCACUGGGCUUAAAGGGCGCGUAGGCGGGCCGUCAAGUCGAGGGUGAAAUCCCCCAGCUCAACUGGGGAAGUGCCUCCGAUGCUGGCGGCCUCGAGGGGGAUAGGGGCAUGCGGAACUUCCGGUGGAGCGGUGAAAUGCGUAGAUAUCGGAAGGAACACCUGUGGCGAAGGCGGCCUUCUGGACGAUGACUGACGCUGAGACACGAAAGCGUGGGGAGCAAACAGG
rnacentral:rRNA from 1 species